rnacentral:rRNA from 1 species
AUUGAACGCUGGCGGCAUGCCUUACACAUGCAAGUCGAACGGCAGCACGGGGGCGAACCCUCGGUGGCGAGUGGCGAACGGGUGAGUAAUAUAUCGGAACGUGCCCUAGAGUGGGGGAGUAACGUAGCGAAAGUUACGCUAAUACCGCAUACGAUCUACGGAUGAAAGUGGGGGAUCGCAAGACCUCAUGCUCGUGGAGCGGCCGAUAUCUGAUUAGCUAGNGGUUAGGGUAAAGCCUACCAAGGCAUCGAUCAGUAGCUGGUCUGAGAGGACGACCAGCCACACUGGGACUGAGACACGGCCCAGACUCCUACGGGAGGCAGCAGUGGGGAAUUUUGGACAAUGGGGGCAACCCUGAUCCAGCAAUGCCGCGUGAGUGAA